AACGAACGCUGGCGGCAGGCUUAACACAUGCAAGUCGAGCGCCCCGAAAGGGGAGCGGCAGACGGGUGAGUAACGCGUGGGAAUGUGCCCUUUGGUCUGGAAUAACUCAGGGAAACUUGAGCUAAUACCGGAUAAGCCCUUCGGGGGAAAGAUUUAUUGCCAUUGGAGCAGCCCGCGUCAGAUUAGCUAGUUGGUGAGGUAAAAGCUCACCAAGGCGAUGAUCUGUAGCUGGUCUGAGAGGACGACCAGCCACACUGGGACUGAGACACGGCCCAGACUCCUACGGGAGGCAGCAGUGGGGAAUAUUGGACAAUGGGGGCAACCCUGAUCCAGCCAUGCCGCGUGAGCGAUGAAGGCCUUAGGGUUGUAAAGCUCUUUUACUCGGGAAGAUAAUGUCUGUACCGAGAGAAUAAGCCCCGGCUAACUUCGUGCCAGCCGCCGCAGUAA
rnacentral:rRNA from 1 species